rnacentral:lncRNA from 1 species
ACCGGCUCCCAGGAUGAACUUGUUGGUUUGGUGCGAAUGUGUUCAGCACGUCAUCAAUCACGGGUUCGAGGGGAGCUGGUACCAAGUCGGAAGCAACGUACAGGAAUUGUGUGUGUGUGUAUAUAUGGACCUGUCUAUGGUACAGAUUCUGUAACAAACAUCUCCCGUCAUCCCACCAUCCGAUCUUCUAUUGUUUAGUUUCUCACUCCACAUCCAACGGCUGAUGCUGCAGUCCGUAGCUUACAUGAAAAAAGGUAUUACAAAAUACCUUCUUUUUAUCACAAAUGCAAAAAAGUUAUUAUUAUUUUUUAUUGAUUUCUUAUUAAUAAGAGAUUUGAAAAGUAUAAACGUCUUAUUAUAUAUAAACCUAGUUUUUUUUGUUUAAGGAUAUCAAACAUUCAGUCAUAAUCUUGUUUUCUUUUUUUUCCUUUUGCUUGUCAUAUAUGCAAUGACGAGAUCUACGUCAUGAGAAAAGCAAUAAUGGAAUCACAUAUGGAGUUGAUCUUGAUGAUUCAAGUUGAAAAAGGAAUUUAUGUAUCUAUUCAUGAAGUGUAAUGACCUUUAUAUUAUGACAAACUUAGAAGAUACAAAUAUCCUUUUUCUUGUAUUAGAGAAUUUCAGUGGGUAUUUAUAAGUUCAUACUUUAAUCACAUUACUAGAGAUUGAAGAAAUUUGAGAUCUUACAAUGAAUUAUAUUUUUUUUUUUUUAAAAAAAAAACAAUCAUCUUAGGGCCAGUUUGAUAAUACUAUAACUUUUAAAAUAAUGGUUGUUAAUUAUGCAAUUGUAAAGAGAAUCAAUUAAACGUUUGGUAAUAUUUAUUUUUAAAAGCACUAUGGGUUUUGAAAGUAAUUAUAUAUGUUUAGUAAAUCUUACUAUUAAACUGCUGUAAAAAUAUAAAUAACUGAAAUAGACUUGAUAUCAAAUAAAUUUUAUUUAUCGAUUUAUAAACACGUAUGUAAAAUAUUUUUUAUUGUGUAUAUAAGAAUUGAUAACUAAAAUAAAUAUUUUCUUAUGAUUUUGAUUUUUAUCUUGUCAUCUCAAUGCAAUUGUCAAUAAUAAUAAUCUCUUCAAUUUUAAUGAUAUUUCCUAAUUGAUAAGGAUAAUUUUAUAUUUUUAUCAUAAGUGUGUGUAUAUAAAUUUUAUUAAGUAUAAACCUAAUUUAAAAAUCAGAUUUUUGAAAAUAAUCUCAUUUCCUACUUUUUCAAAACAUGUUAUAGGAUAGGGUGAUUUGCCAAAAGUGAUUUUUUAAAAAAAAUUUGAGCCUUCUAAAUGUAAUUCCAAUUGAGCUCUUUGUAUCUAAAUAUUAUUGGAAAAAUGAUAUUAUAUUAAUAAUAAUUGGUAACAUUAAGGUGGCAUUUAUUUUUUUCUUUGUGGGUUUGCAAUUUAAAAGGAUCUAGAUUUUUUUAAAGUUAAAAUACAAGUAUCCAAAUAAUUUUUUUUUUAAUAUCUCAAUAUAGGUGACAUCUUAUUUAAAAAUGACUUAUUUUAAAUACAACAUCUUAUUUUAAUUCUUUUUCAAAUAAUAUGUGAAAAAUUAGUGUCAGAAGCAUUGGUUUCAUUUCAUCAUUUAUUCUUAAUUCAAAACUUUGCAAGUCAAAAUAUAAAAAAAUUUACGGAACAAAAGGUAAAUGUGAUACAAUUCAUCACCAGCUCCCAGCGUGAUCUUGUUGGCUUGGUGCCAAUAUGUUCAGCACGUCAUCAAUCACGGGUUCGAGGGGAGCUGGUACCAAGUCGGAAGCAACGUACAGGAAUUGUGUGUGUGUGUACAUAUCUACGGACCUGUCUAUGUUACAGAUUCUGUAACAAACAUCUCCCGUCAUCCCACCAUCCGAUCUUCUAUUGUUUAGUUUCUCACUCCACAUCCAACGGCUGAUGCUGCAGUCUGUAGCUUCAAGUCCUAUAUAUAUAUGUAUGUUCUUACAUGAAAAAAGGUAUUACAAAAUACCUUCUUUUUAUCACAAAUGCAAA